rnacentral:rRNA from 1 species
CCGCGGUAAUUCCGGUUACUCCUACGGGAGGCAGCAGUGGGGAAUCUUGGACAAUGGGCGCAAGCCUGAUCCAGCCAUGCCGCGUGAGUGAUGAAGGCCUUAGGGUUGUAAAGCUCUUUCGACGGGGACGCGGUACCCGUAGAAGAAGCCCCGGCUAACUUC